AUAAUACUCCAUAGAUUAGAGACACUGGAAUGCUUUAUAAUCGAAAGUUCCGGCGCCUUAGGAUGGAUCUGCGGUCGAUUAGAUAGUAGUGAGGGUAGCGUCCCAACUAGCCUGUAAUCGAUACGGGUUGUGGGAGCAAGAGCCCGGAGAUGGAAUCUGAGACACGAAUCCAGGCCCUACGGGGCGCAGCAGGCGCGAAAACUUUACAAUGCUGGCAACAGCGAUAAGGGAACCUCGAGUGCCAGGUUACAAAUCUGGCUGUCGAGAUGCCUAAAAAGCAUUUCGUAGCAAGGGCCGGGCAAGACCGGUGCCAGCCGCCGCGGUAACACCGGCGGCUCGAGUGGUAACCGUUAUUAUUGGGUCUAAAGGGUCUGUAGCCGGCCGGAUAAGUCUCUUGAGAAAUCUGGCAGCUUAACUGUCAGGCUUUCCAAGGAGAUACUGUCUGGCUCGAGGCCGGGAGAGGUGAGAGGUACUUCAGGGGUAGGGGUGAAAUCUUGUAAUCCUUGAAGGACCACCAGUGGCGAAGGCGUCUCACCAGAACGGACCUGACGGCAAGGGACGAAAGCUAGGGGCACGAACCGGAUUAGAUACCCGGGUAGUCCUAGCCGUAAACGAUACUCGCUAGGUGU
rnacentral:rRNA from 1 species